rnacentral:rRNA from 1 species
GAUGAACGCUGGCGGCGUGCCUAAUACAUGCAAGUCGAGCGAACAGACGAGGCUCUUGCUCCUCUGACGUUAGCGGCGGACGGGUGAGUAACACGUGGAUAACCUACCUAUAAUACUGGGAUAACUUCGGGAAACCGGAGCUAAUACCGGAUAAUAUAUUGAACCGCAUGGUUCAAUAGUGAAAGACGGUUUUGCUGUCACUUAUAGAUGGAUCCGCGCCGCAUUAGCUAGUUGGUAAGGUAACGGCUUACCAAGGCAACGAGGCGUAGCCGACCUGAGAGGGUGAUCGGCCACACUGGAACUGAGACACGGUCCAGACUCCUAAGGGAGGCAGCAGUAGGGAAUCUUCCGCAAUGGGCGAAAGCCUGACGGAGCAACGCCGCGUGAGUGAUGAAGGUCUUCGGAUCGUAAAACUCUGUUAUUAGGGAAGAACAAAUGUGUAAGUAACUAUGCACGUCUUGACGGUACCUAAUCAGAAAGCCACGGCUAACUACGUG